GUAUUAUAUAAUAUAUGCUAUAUAUAUUAUAUAAUAUGUAAGAUUAUUAUAGAACCAACGUUAUUAUUAUUAUUAUUAUUAAUCCCCAUUUUACAGAGGAGGUCACCGAGGCCCAGAGAAUAAUAAUAAUAACGUUGGUAUUUCUUAAGUGCUAUGUGCCAAGCACUAUUCUAAGCGCUGGGGGAGAUAGUUAGAACAGCGCUCGGCACAUAGUAAGCGCUUAACAAAUACCAACAUUAUUAUUAUUAUGAGCACGGUCCCUGUCUAGACUGCGAGCUCUUCGCGGGCAGAGAUCGUCUCUCUUUAUUGCUUGUAUUGUGCUUUCCCCAGUGCUUAGCAAGGUGCUGUGCACACAGUAAGCGCUCAAUAAAUACGACUAAAGGAAUGAACGUCCCCCAUGGGGCUCACAGUCUCAAUGAGCUCAGCGAGGCCCAGGGAAGGGAACUGAGUUGCCCAAGGUCACACGGCCAAGUGGCGAAGCAGGGUUUGGAACCCAGGGCCUUCUGAAUCCCGGAUUCUAACCACUAGUCCAUGCUGCUUCUCGGAGCCUUGGGCCCGGAGAUUUCGGGCCGGGGGCGGAGAGCGGGCGGAGGGCGACCCACCCCUGCGGGUCCAGAAGCUCUGAGAUGGGGGGCUUCCGUGCCGUUACAGGCGAUGAGGACCCCCGCAGAAUGGAGGAGCCUCAUCCUGCCGGUCCUGGCGGAGCUGUGGGCGGCGGCGGACUGCUUGACCACCCACUACCGGAGGACCGACAUCACCGUGCAGGAAGGAGCCCCGCUCACUCUCAGCUGCCCCGUGAACUAUGGCGGCGACCCACAGCAGAGGACGAGGGCCUUCUGGUGUAAGGGGAGCCACGGGGGCUGCUGCUCCGGAAAGGACACACUGGUGCAGUUGGAGAUGAAGGGGAAGUCCGACCCCGACGCUCGGGAGACACUGUGGUUCAACCUCACCGGCUCCAAGCCCUCCGACAGCGGCAUUUACCAGUGCUGUGUCGUUAACCAGAAGGCCAUCGUCUCCGGCCAUCAGAUCUCCGUGUCGGUGACAGAGGGAGGGAACGCGGUCGACCCCUCGCUGAACUCGACCAAGAACCGACUGGCCGGCGGAAGCCUCUCCAGCCGCGGCAAGGGGUCCCCGCCGUGGGUCUUCGUCCUUCGGUGGGCGGCCUGGGCGGUGGCGGUGGACGUACUGGUCGCCCUCUGCACAGGUCGCUGAGGACGACGGCACCGCGGGGGAGUUGGCCGUGACGUUCCGGGUCCUGCCGAAUCGCCACCGGGCCGGAUGGGGCCGCGGGAGGCGGGGGUGGGGAUGCGGGAGGGAGAACAGUGUGAUGGACGCCCGAGCGGAUGGCGCCGGGGGAGCCUCUGCUCCCCUGCAGCUGCAGAACUUUCUCCAUGUCAGCCUCUCUGGGGAGUUUUCGGUCCAUCGGGCUGCCCGCGGUGGGGGGUCUUUCUCCCCUCUGGACUCUAAGCUCGUUUUUUCAAAUGGCAUUUGGUCAGCGCUAACUAUGCGUCGGGCGCUGUACUAAGCGCCGCGUAGUUCUAAGAUUAUCAGGUUGGACCCAGUCCCCGUUCCCGCAUGGGGCUCGCAGACUGAAUCACCAUUUUACGGAUGAGGCGACUGAGUCCCCGAGACGUGAGGUGACUUGCCCGAGGUCACGCAGGUGACACGGUAUUUGUUAAGCGCUUACUAGGUGCCGAGCACUGUUCUAAGCGCUGGGGGAGAGACAGGGUCAUCAGGCGGUCCCACGUGAGGUCACAGUCUUCAUCCCCAUUUGGCAGAUGAGGGAACUGAGGCCCAGAGAAGUGAAGGGACUUGCCCACGGUCACACAGCUGACAAGUGGCAGAGUCGGGAUUCGAACCCAUGACCUCUGUCUCCCAAGCCCGGGCUCUUUCCACUGAGCCACGCUGCUUCUUUAAAUCUGAUUCGGGGAUUCAGCAGGGCCUAGUGGAAAGAGAGCAGUCCUGGGAGUCAGGAGACCUGGGUUCUAGUCUCAAGCCCGCCUCGGGCAUGCUGGGUGCGAAUUUGGCCAGGUCACUCGACCUCCCUGUCUCCCCCUAUUUAUAAUGGAAAUGCAGUAGAAGAGAAGCAAAGAGAGGUAAAAAGAGAAAAAAGAGAGAAGUUAAAAGAGAAGCAGCGUGGCUGAGUGGAAAGAGCCCGGGCUUGGGCGUCAGAGGUGGUGGGUUCUAAUCCUGGCUCCGCCACUUGUCUGCUGUGUGACCUUGGGCAAGUCACUUCACUUCUCUGGGCCUCAGUGACCUCAUCUGGAAAAUGGGGAUUCAAAAAUGUGAGCCCCACGUGGGACAACCUGAUGACCCGGUAUCCGCCCCAGCGCUUAGAACGGUGCUCAGCACAUAGUAAGCACUUAACAGAUACCAUCAUUAUUAUUAUUAUUAAGUCCUUGCUCUCCCUCACUUUGAGACCGGCCGUGAGCCCCAUGAGGGACGGACAUUUUCCAAGAAGCAGCAGCAGCACGGCCUCGUGGACAGACGCGGGUUCUAAUCCUGCCUCGGCCACUUGUCUGCUGGGUGACCUUGGGCGCGUCAUUUCACUUCUCUGGGUCUCAGAGAAGUGUAAAAUGGGAUUAAGACUGUGAGCCCCACGGGGAACAUGGACUGCAUCCAACCUGAUUAAAUAUAUCUGGCUCAGCGCUUAGCGCGGUGCCUGACACGUAGCUUAGCAAACGCCAUUAAAAAAAAAAUCGAUUAUCCUUCAUCUACCCCAGCUUAGCUUAGCACGGUGCUUGUCAUGUGGAAAGCACUUAAUAAAUACCUUUGUUUUGUUGCUUUAUUACUAUUAUCUCUUUUCUUAUGCCAAUGGAGUGCCCGCCUCGGCCCAGCCUCCGUAAGCAGGCGGGAGUCAGGCUCAGGAAGGUGACUGUUUCCCCCUUGGUUUGGAGGGUCCAAGUCACUGGAGGCUGAUGGUGGCGAUUAGUGUGGAAGCUUCCCGUGGGCCUGGAUCGUGUCUUUUGUUUUUGUUGUACUUUCCCGAGCGCUCAGUACAGUGCCCGCGCCCGGGAGGUGCUCGCUACAACUCCCCGAGCUCCGUAAGUCCCCUGCCCGGCCUCUACUCGUGGUAAGGGCUCAGGGCCGGUCUCUGCCGAGAACUGGUGUUCAAUACAGUACCUUUCAUGCACAGUAAGCGCCCAGGGCAGGUCUCUGCAUAGAGCAGGUGUUCAGUACAGUAUCUUUCAGGCACAGUAAGCGCCCAGGGCGGGUCUCUGCAUAGAGCGGGUGUUCAGUACAGUACCUUUCACGCACAGUAAGCGCCCAGGGCCGGUCUCCGCAUAGAACGGGUGUUCAAUACAGUACCUUUCAGGCAGAGUAAGCGCCCAGGGCCGGUCUCUGCAUAGAGAGGGCGUUCAGUACAGUACCUUUCAUGCACAGUAAGCGCCCAGGGCCGGUCUCUGCAGAGAGCGGAUGUUCAGUACAGUUCCUUUCAUGUACAGUAAGCGCCCAGGGCGGGUCUCUGCAUAGAACAGGUGUUCAGUACAGUACCUAUCGCGCACAGUAAGCGCCCAGGGCCGGUCUCUGCAGAGAGCAGGUAUUCAGUACAGUAUCUUUCAUGCUCUAGACUCUCAGUAGAGCGCUACACACUCGGUGUCCAUAAUUUCCUCCAAAAAGUAAUAAAAUGAGUCAAACCUCGGCGGCUCGAUCGAAACCACUGAUAGGAUGCAGAAGAGAAUGGGAGCAGCGUGGCAUAGUUGAUUGGGCCUGGGAGUCAGGAGGUCGUGGGUUCUAAUCCCGCCCCCGUCCCUUGUCUGCUGUGUGACCCUGGGCCAGUCACUUCACUUCUCUGGGCCUCAGUGACCUCAUCUGCAAAAUGGGGAUGGAGAUUGCGGGACAGGGGCGGCGUCCAACCCCAUUUGCUUGUACCCACCCCAGCGCUCAGUAGAGUGUCCGGCACAUGGUAAGCGCGUGACAAGUACCACGAUCACUAUCAUUUUAUUACUCUUGUUGUUGUUGUUAAGCAUGAGAAGCAGCGUGGCUCAGCGGAAAGAGCCCGGGCUGGGGAGUCAGAGGUCACGGGUUCGAAUCCCGGCUCCGCCACUUGUCAGCUGGGUGACCUUGGGCAAGUCACUUCGUUUCUCUGGGCCUCAGUGACCUCAUCUGCAAAAUGGGGAUGAAGCCUGUGAGCCUCACGGGGGACCACCUGAUUGCCCUGCAAAAUGGGGAUGAAGCCUGUGAG
rnacentral:lncRNA from 1 species